GGGUAUAUGUCUUCGGAUAUAGAGACCGGCGCACGGGUGCGUAACGCGUAUGCAAUCUACCUUUUACAGGGGAAUAGCCCAGAGAAAUUUGGAUUAAUGCCCCAUAGUAUAAUUGAAUGGCAUCAUUUAAUUAUUAAAGUCACAACGGUAAAAGAUGAGCAUGCGUCCCAUUAGUUAGUUGGUAAGGUAACGGCUUACCAAGACAAUGAUGGGUAGGGGUCCUGAGAGGGAGAUCCCCCACACUGGUACUGAGACACGGACCAGACUCCUACGGGAGGCAGCAGUGAGGAAUAUUGGACAAUGGGCGCAAGCCUGAUCCAGCCAUGCCGCGUGCAGGAAGACGGUCCUAUGGAUUGUAAACUGCUUUUAUACAGGAAGAAACACUCCGACGUGUCGGAGCUUGACGGUACUGUAGGAAUAAGGAUCGGCUAACUCCGUGCCAGCAGCCGCGGUAAUACGGAGGAUCCAAGCGUUAUCCGGAAUCAUUGGGUUUAAAGGGUCCGUAGGCGGUUUAAUAAGUCAGUGGUGAAAUCUGGUCGCUCAACGAUCAAACGGCCAUUGAUACUGUUAGACUUGAAUUAUAAGGAAGUAACUAGAAUAUGUAGUGUAGCGGUGAAAUGCUUAGAUAUUACAUGGAAUACCAAUUGCGAAGGCAGGUUACUACUUAUGGAUUGACGCUGAUGGACGAAAGCGUGGGGAGCGAACAGGAUUAGAUACCCUGGUAGUCCACGCCGUAAACGAUGGAUACUAGCUGUUGGGCGCAAGUUCAGUGGCUAAGCGAAAGUGAUAAGUAUCCCACCUGGGGAGUACGU
rnacentral:rRNA from 1 species